AAAAAAAAAAUGCUAACCUUCGCUGUUAUUGUAAUGGUGAGAGGUUCGCAUGUUUUGGGGGUAUGAUAUUUGUGCGUCUAACUUUCUCACUCAUCAUUAACCAGACGGCAUAAAAGGUUAUCGAUGGUGCAUCCAUCCCUUGUCCAAUAAGGAACAAUCCCUUGUUUACUGCAGGUGGCAAGACACUGGCUAAUGAUACCUGGCAACUUCAAAACAGUCAUGUGGGGACGAAGAUAUCAUUCCAUUUAAAGAGUUGAUAGCAGAGUCUGGCCUGAAUGAUAUGACAUUUUUACUCUAUUUGCAGCUCAAAUCAAUAAAAAAAAAGUAUUUCCUCAAAGGGUAUUGGUGUGUGAUGGACAACAAACUGAGGGGUGCUGCUAAUGGGAAAGGAACGGUUUACACCUUAUACAAGCUGGUUGGCCUCCUCCCCAAACAGCAACAUUUCUACAAGACUUGGUUGUGUCUCUCACUGCAGCACAGUGGGAUGUGAAAUACACAAAGGAAGGCCAAUGCAGUGAUGCUAUCAGUCAAAUGGACAGUACUUAUAAAUUGCAAAGUGCGUAACAGCAGUGCUUCAGCAUGGACAUUUGGUUAAGGCAAUUCAUGGACUUAUUGACAAUGGAACGAACGGUCGGUCGGUCCUCCAGGGCUAUGCCAAUGGACUAUAGCAGGGGUAGGCAGCCCUGUUCCUGGAGUGCCGCAGGGAUUCUGUUCCAACUAGGCACCACAUCUAAUCAACUGAGCUAAUUGAUCAGUGAUUGCCUAAAUUCAACACACCUGGUCUUCCAGUUGACUGGACCUGGUUCUUUUAGAACUGUUUCCUGAACUGAACAAGCAGGGACAGCAGGAGACUGCUACUAACAUGGCUCCAUGGACGUGGCAAGAGGAUUGUCUGGCUUUAGUCUCUGCUUCAUCUGCUGCAUGUUGUUGGAAUGAACUGUAUAUACAGCACUUAAACCACUCAUACCGCUGCCCUUGUGAUCAUUUUUACUGAUUCAUAAAACAAUAAUACUGAAAAAAUUGAUGUGACUGAACAUGAUUGUGAUGAGAAAAGAAACAUGUCUGAAGACUCAAUCAAACUUGGUCGCUGCUUUUGUAAACCUCCCCACAUCGUUUCUUGUCUGGCCUUGUCACACCCUGAUCUGGUUCACCUGUCCUUGUGAUUGUCUUCACCCCCUCCUGGUGUCGCUUAUUAUCCCCGGUGUAUAUAUCCCUGUGUCUCUCUGUGCCAGUUCAUCUUGUUUGCCAAGUCAACCAGCGGUUUUCCUUGCUCCUAUUUUUCCCAGUCUCUGUUUGUUUCUAGUCCUCCUGGUUUCAACCCUUGCCUGUACUGACUCCGAACCCGCCUGCCUGACCACUCUGCCUGUUCUGACCAACAGCCUUCCUUGGACUCGGAUCUGGUUUCUGACCCCUGCCUGGCCUGACCUUGAGACUGCCUAUCCCCUGGUACUGUUUGGACUCUGACCUGGUUUCUGACCCCUGCCUGGCCUGACCUUGAGACUGCCUAUCCCCUGGUACUGUUUGGACUCUGACCUAGUUUAUGAACUCUCACCUGUCCCAAACCUGCCUUUGCCUACUCCCUUUGUUAUAAUAAAUAUUGGAGCUCUA